rnacentral:rRNA from 1 species
UACGGGGGGAGCAAGCGUUGUUCGGAUUUACUGGGCGUAAAGGGCGCGUAGGCGGCCACCGCAAGUCGACUGUGAAAUCUCCGGGCUUAACUCGGAAAGGUCAGCCGAUACUGCGGGGCUAGAGUGCAGAAGGGGCAACUGGAAUUCUCGGUGUAGCGGUGAAAUGCGUAGAUAUCGAGAGGAACACCUGCGGCGAAGGCGGGUUGCUGGGCCAACACUGACGCUGAUGCGCGAAAGCCAGGGGAGCAAACGGG